rnacentral:tRNA from 1 species
GGAGUGGUGGCUGAGUGGUUAGGGUUUUAGAAUUCCAGCUACUAGGUCGCAGGUUCAAAUCCAACUCUGUCUACUUCU